CACACAGAAAGUUUUGCCAUAGGAGAGCUGUGGGGAAGCUGGGAACCGAGACUGUAAUAUCUAAACCAUCCCAUACAGACUGCUGCUUGCCGCACUCUUCUUCAUGCCCAAAAGCUACUCUCUGCGUUGCUCAUUUGCGUUAGGAUUUACCGUGUAAAACUCAACCGGCAAAGGCAGGCGUGUUGGGGUCUCCCGAACCCUAAGCCUGGUAUGAUGUGGUGGUGCCUGCCCUCAGCCGGGGCGAGCCGGAAAAGAGGUUUUCAGCCUUUGAUUUUGCUGUGCAUGGUUUCAAUAUUGCAGGGAUCACUUCUCUUUGGGGCAGGAAUGCUGUAAGGAAUCUCACUCGGUCCUUGGAUAAGGAAAUGAUCAAGGACUUGCCUAUUCACAAUUAAUGGAAAAAAAGAGCUGAAAGCCUUUAUUAAUCAUUGCACAAUAAGGAAGUCAUACUGGUUUGGCUCCUUUCAGUAGGGCUAUUUGGUCACACCUACCUAAGUGGUUUGGCAUCCCAACCAUCUCCUGCUCGUGCAGCUGGGGAAGGAGGAGGGAAGGGCCACUGCACCUGUGUGCCACCAAGGUGCCUGGCCACUGGCUCAUGGGGCAGGGUGAGCUCUGAGUGCCCAUCUCCCUUUCCUGGAGGGCUGGGCAUCUGUUUUUAGAGAUCUGUGCCCAAUACACACACCAGUGCCACCCAUCCCUGUGCUCUGGGUUUCUGCUCGCAGGUUUCUGCCCCAAGCCCUGGCAUCAAAAAGGAGCAGAACUUUGUGCAUGCGCUGCACCAGUUUCUCCCCUGCCAGCUGCAGGGGGUCCCUGCCAGGGAGGGUCUUGUCCUAGGGAUGUGUGCCACCUGCCCAGUGACUGCAGCUCCUUGCCCCACUACUGGGUAUCUGCUUGGGGCCCUGGCUUACCUCUUGUGGCAGCCAGGCUGUUUAACCCCCAGCUCCAGAAAGCGGUUUGGGCCCAGAUGUGAUGGCUGGCAGGUGCCUCUGAAGUGCCAGGAGACAGAUGUUCAGGCACUGGGUUUUGGCUGGUGCACAGGACUGCAUCGCCCUGCCCUAGGAGAGCAUGCCGGGGAGAAUUUUAUAGCUAGUGGUAAGACAACAUCAGCACGGGUUGAGACAGCAUGUCAGGAGCCUGGGUUACAUCUCAGUUGCCUUUCCUACGUGAGUUUGCACAGCCUGAAGUUUGCAGAGCUGAAAGGCCCGAAGCAGCUGAGCCCGUGUUGGCUGGAGGUGGAAAGCAUCAAAUCUUCCCCGUGCCACGUUUUCCUGCGCAGAGUGCCGUUCAACUUGUGCCAAGCUGCAAGCUGUCACGGUGGAGAAGGCAUGAAAAGGAAAUUUGCUGAGAAAAAGAACCUCCAAAUCCUGGAUUGCUGA
rnacentral:lncRNA from 1 species